CCAAACUGGGAUUAGAUACCCCACUAUGCCCAGCCCUAAACACAAAUAAUUUACACAACAAAAUUAUCUGCCASAGAACUACUAGCAACAGCUUAAAACUCAAAGGACUUGGCGGYGCUUUAUAUCCCUCUAGAGGAGCCUGUUCUAUAAUCGAUAAACCCCGAUAAACCUCACCACUCCUAGCUAAACCAGUCUAUAUACCGCCAUCUUCAGCAAACCCUUAAAAGGAAGAAAAGUAAGCACAAUAAUAUUACAUAAAAAAGUUAGGUCAAGGUGUAACCCAUGGAGUGGGAAGAAAUGGGCUACAUUUUCUAAUUAAGAAUACACUCACGAAAGCUUUCAUGAAAACUGAAAACUAAAGGCGGAUUUAGUAGUAAAUUAAGAAUAGAGAGCUUAAUUGAAUAGGGCCAUGAAGCACGCACACACCGCCCGUCACCCUCC
rnacentral:rRNA from 1 species